rnacentral:tRNA from 1 species
AUGUAAAGAGAGGAUUAUACCUCAUAAAUGGAAUUACAACCCACCACCUAUUC